GUUUCCAAAUUUUUCAAAGUGCUUUGUCAUCCUGCCCAUUGAUUUUUUCCGCUUCCGGGUUCUCUGCCGGACGCCCUCUUCCUUCUCAGCCAGACUCCCAAUACUUUUCAGGCUUGGACGAUUUUGUUUUCUCCAGCGUGGAACUCAUCUCCCUGACUCUAAAGUAAGUUUGAAUCUUUUAUUACACUGUCGAUCUUUUUUUUCACAGUUGGAGUGCCUGGGAGAGCGGAGGCUUCGUGGCCGUUUGUCUGCCGUCGAUCAUCGGACACAAAGUAUGGCUGCGGAUCGAGAGGUGGUACCCAUGCUGACAGCGGCUAUCUGGAUUCUCGUGGCCAAUUCAGGAUAGGGGAACUGCAGCUCAACCUCCUCGAAGAGCACUGCCAGGACAAUUGAGGGCUCCUUUCGGCAGCCCUCUGCUGUGACAUGGACAUCCACUUUUUAUUUAAUUGAUUUUCAUGUUGUAUCAUUUGUGCCCUCUCUGCAUCCAUUUCAACCUGGUGAUCCUGAAAGGGGGAUCCUUCCAUCUGUGGUCCCUUCUCAAGGUUUCUCAUUUUCCCCCUGCUAGGGGUUUUUAAGUUUUUCCUUGCCCUUUUGGGAGCUUAAGAUCAGGGGAUGCUUUGAGAAUAAUUGUCAAUUUCUGUCUAUGUGAAGCCCUUUGAGACUGCUUGUGAUUUAGGGCUAUACAAAUAAACUUGACUUGACUUGACUUGACAGUAAGCAUAGCGCAAAAGUACAGGACGCUACGCAGAAAGGGGAAGCGAGUUCAGGAUCCUAACAGCCUGGAGUACGAAGCUGUUGGUGAGUCUGGUGGUGCGGGAGCGCAGGCUCCUACACCUCUUCCCAGAGGGCAGAAGAUCAAACAAAGAGUGAGCGGGGUGACUCACGUCACUCACAAUCGUGGUCGCCUUGCGGGUGAGAUGGGAGAUGCAAAUGUCUUUCAAGGAGGGGAGUGAAGCACCAAUAAUCUUACCAGCCGUGUUCACUGUGCGCUGCAGGGCCUUCAAGUUGUAGUCAGUGCAGCUGCCACCCCAAACAGCAAUACAGCUGGAGAGGACGCUCUCAAUGGUGCCACGGUAAAAUGUAGUUAUGACGGCCGGAGGAGCGCUCGCUCGCCUGAGUUUCUGCAGGAAGUACAGGCGGCGCUGGGCCUUCUUCGCCAGUGAUGCAAUGUUGGUGGACCAGGAGAGAUCCUCACUGAUGUGCACCCCCAGAAACCUGGCGCUGCUCACUCUCUCCACCACAGCACCGUCGAUGGUCAGCGGCAGGUGUUGGGUGUGACCCUUCCGGAAGUCAACAACAAUCUCCUUGGUCUUGUCGACGUUCAGCAGGAGGUUGUUGUCCCUGCACCACGUGGUCAGAAGGUCAACUUCCAGCCUGUAUUGAGUCUCGUCUUCCUUGGUGAUGAGACCCACCAGAGUCGUGUCGUCAGCAAACUUCACUAUGCGGUUGUCGCUGUAGGUUGCAGUGCAGUCAUGCGUCAGGAGGGUGAAGAGCAGCGGACAGAGCACGCAGCCUUGGGGGGCCCCUGUGCUCAGCGUGAUGCUGGCGGAGAUUUUGUCGCCAACACGUACCACCUGUGGCUUCUGACAGAGGAAGUCCAGUAGCCAGUUGCAGAGGUGGGUGAGGGCCGAGUGGAGGGCAGAGCAGAUGGCAUCCUCAGAGGACCGUUUGGCUCGGUACGCAAACUGGAAGGGGUCAAUGGGGGGGGUUCAUGUAGUAUUUAAACCCUGCCCGAGUGUUUCUCCCUGUCGGUGUCUACUGUUUUUCCCCGUUUGUGUCCGCGCCUGUUGUGCCUUAGUCUACUUUCCCCGGGUGUCGUGUGUAGGCUAAUGGUCAGAACCUCUCCCUAGUGACUAGGGCCUAGUCUGUACUUGGUUCGAGGGGAGUUCCAUUUCCCACUCACUGUCUGUGAGUUUCUUUCCACCUGUGCCUUCGUUCCUCUUCUCCCUUCCCUUCAAUAAACCCUGGUCCACGAUGCAUUUGGUCGUCCUGCUCUACUCAAUUCUUGACACAUACCUCCUCCUUCACUCUCACAAUUCUUGAUAAAAACAGUCUACUUAUCUAGACACUGUCAUCACAUGCUAAAUAAUGGCCUGCAAAUUAAACAUAAUGUUGUUGCUGUGGGCCCUCAAAACAUGUGACUAGAAUUUGGACAAUUAUUAACCCUCAUCAAUUGAUCAAUCAUCUCCUCACUAAAUUCCUAGCCUGUUAACCUAUCUGCAUAAAGAAGAUAUUUACAAUGCAGGGGAUAAGAGAAUAACAAGGAACACCUGAACCCUAACCCAAGAACACAAGGAAAACCUUAACAAUAAACAAAAUAAACCCAACCCACAAUCAAAACCAAAUAAAUUAGGACCAUGACAUAUGUGGACCCACGCAGUACUCCAAAUAUUUCCUCAAUAAAAUUUUAGCCUAUAUGUGUAGAGCACCAUUAAUUUCGAAUUAUUGACUGAAUUUUAUCCUUAAUUUAAUCCCAAUCAUGAAUGCCCUCUACUUAAUACUUUACUUGGUGUGCUUUUAAUAAAAAGUGCCCCCUUGCAAUGUAGUUUUUAUUUGUUGUUUUUAACGCUAAGUGAUUCAAAUCUUUGAUUUAUCCUUACAUGUAACCACCUUGUAUACUCUAAUGUCCUAAUCGAUCAAUAAUUCCUCCUAAAUUUAACGUCUGCAAUCACAAUUUAAUUUUAUGAGGGCUGGGCACUCUCCCCGUUGGACCAGUUUCUGCCCACAACCCUCAGAUUAUUCUAUAAUUUCUAAUUUUUACAUUUAACAAUGGAAAUCUGAUAAACCAUUGUCUAGAACAGGGGUGUGCAAACUACGGCCCGCGGGCCACAUCCAGCCCACGGGACCGUUUAAUCCGGCCCACCAACCCUGAAUAAAUUGUAUAAUUAAACAUUUUUUGGGUCAUUUUGCCUGCAAUGGCUGCGUUUCCCCAGUAGAUGGGGAACCGCUCGCCUGCGCAUUUACUACCGGAAGCCGUGUCAGAAAGCUUGGUGCACACUCACAAGUGCGUGUACGUACUCAGUAGUACGGACACGGCGCACUCGCGCUCUAUUUGUAUCAGUCCCGAAUUUAGAGCGUGGGCUGUGACGACAGCAUUCUUGUAAUUCGCGCGCUGAGCUUUCAGAUACAGUUUUAGACUAUGACGCACUAACAAAAAAGGGAGACCAACAACACUGUUCCCUCUGAAAAUGAAGGGGAGGCUCUCAAGUUUGUUGUAAAAAAAAUGUAUUUUGAAUAUAAUUUGUACACAUAGAAUGGAUUGAAACUAGUGACCAUUCUAAUUUUCGAACAAUGCAGGAUGCUCAAGGACAUUGAUGCACCACCUGUUUGCGACUAAUCUUAACCUGUAAAGUUCUUAAGGCUUACUUUAAGGAAGUGUUUCCCGUUUCCUCACCUCUGUUACCAGGUGUUUGUGAGUUAUAACUCUGCUCUGAUUUUCAGAUACCCCUCACCGUGUUUCCGUUAGGGUUAGGGUUAGGGUUAGGGCAUCCUUUAUUUGGAUGUAUGCUUUCACAGAUUCUUCAAGAUGAUAUAUUUGGUCAGAAUGUUUGCCGUUUGAUGUGAUCUCAUAAGAUAAACAUCUUUCAUUAAUCUGACCUGCAGGCACUGAAGUGAUGGAGACUGUUAUUCAUAAUAACAGUGUCGUAUUUUAUGAGAAUCACUGAUAGCAGUUUUUUAGUGAAUUAUUAUUAUUAUUUUUUAAUCCUGUUAAUAAAUGCGUUUUUUCUUCAAAAAACUUGUUUGGAAUAUCCAUGCUUUACUACCUACUAAAGGCGAAAAUCUUUUAUGCAAUGACCUUUACAGGUCGCUUAUAUUACUUCACACAAACACUACGUCCAUCUGCUCCUGGUUCGGCCCUCCGGUCAAAAUUUAGAACCCAGUUCGGCCCGCAAGUCAAAAAGCUUGCCCACCCCUGGUCUAGCACACCGUUUUUGUGCACCAUUUUAGCCCAUUUCCAUAAUUUAUCAUGAACUGGUACAAAGACAAACAUAGAUAACACACACACGGGCCCACAACAUAGACAACACGACUCUGGCAAUGGCAAUCUUCCCAGCCGAUGACAAGAGGGGGGGGGCAUCUGAAGUGCGGAGAGCCUCGCCACCACCACGUCACACAAUGCGACCCCCCCACCUCUGUCCUAAAUAUGCAUUUGCGCCCACCUGACCAUUUGGCCCUAACUUUAGAGCCGCACCCUUUUGAAAACAAAAAUAGUUACAGUUUAACCCCACCGCACAAUGGGAUACAACCUUCAUGCUAAUUAUACAUAUACUAUAUACAUUCUUGAUCAAAUUCUUGUGAAGCCAUUUUUCUGACUCCAACUCACAUGAACCACAAACCAUCACUUCCACCCCAUGAACAGCAGAAACCGCGAUAAACGAACCGCGAUGUAGCAAGGGAUUACUGUAAUUUGAAUUUCAAGUGACGUCAGCAGCGCGACGCGGCGUGGCGCGGCGGUUGUUUACAUAAAGGACAAAGAUUGAUCACGGGAUGACGAAGAUGACAAAGGGCCCCACGUACUACCGGCAUCAAUAGCGGCUUUGUUUGUAAGUGACACGGAGGACGAAGAGUAUGAAGGAUUUAAUGAUUUGGAGUGACACAGAAGGUUUGAAAAACUAUUAUGGCUUUUUUUAUUAUGGCCUGGUCCUACUCUACGGAGCUCUCUUUAACCUCCGUGGAUGGAAGUCUGGGGCGGGCGCUUGGCCGCGUGGCUGUCCGGGGACGGUGGAUGGAGCUUGGACAUGGCUUUUACGCACGCCCGGUCCUACUCUACGGAGCGCUCUUUCACCUCUGUGGAUGGAAGUCAGGGGCUGGUGCUCGGCCGGGUGGCUGUCCGGGGACGGUGGAUGGGGCUCGAACAUGGCUUUUAGGCACGCCCGGUCCUAUUCUAUGGAGCUCUCUUCCACCUCCGUGGCUGGAAUUCCACGCCGUCACACGCCUGGAAGUUUGUUUUGUUAAAUAAAAAGCCGUUUACCAAACCCACGUCUUUCCUUGUACUUUGGUAACGCUACAAUAUAUGUAGUUAUAUAUCUGUGGAAUAACGACGAUGCUGACGUCAGGGCGCACGCGGGGCGUUGUUGACAAAGGACGAGGAAUUUGAUCGAUGGAUUUAAUGAUUUGGAGUGACAAAGAUGGUUUGAUAAUAUUAUUGCUUAUAUAAUAGUUAUCCAUCCAUUUUCUGUACCGCUUAGUCCCCACUGGGGUCGCGGGCGUGCUGGAACCUAUCCCAGCCAUCACCGGUUGCCAGCCAAUCGCAGGGCACACAGAGACAAACAACCAUUUGCACUCGCACUCACACCUAGGGACAAUUUGGAGUGUUCAAUCGGCCUACCAAGCAUGUUUUUGGGAUGUGGGAGGAAACCGGAGUGCCCGGAGAAAACCCACGCCGGCCCGGGGAGAACAUGCAAACUCCACACAGGGAGGGCCGGAGGUGGAGUCGAACCCGCACCCUCCUAACUGUGAGGCGGACGUGCUACCCAAGUGCUCCACCGAGCCGCCUAUAUAAUAGUUAUUUGAUAUAUAAUUUAUAUAUCGUUAUAUGGGCCUGUGGAAUAUUUUGAAGUGCAAGCGCCGUCAGCUGCGCGCACCCGGCCGGCAUUGUUGACAUAAAGGACGAUCGAUGGAUUUAAUGAUUUGGAGUGACACAGAUGGUUUGAUAACAUUAUUGCUUAUAUAAUAGUUAUUUGAUAUAUAAUUUAUAUAUCGUUAUAUGGGCCUGUGGGAUAUUUUGAUGCAACCGCCGCGCACCCAUUGUUGACAUAAAAGACGAUCAAUGGAUUUAAUGAAUUGGAGUGACAGAUGGAAGAUUCAAGAUGGCGGCGCGUGCAUACGCAGCGACCUCUCUCUGUCCCGCCCAAACGGUGUUUUGUCCGUCUAAUGAGUGUUUGUCCGGCAGUUUUUUUUGUUCGUCUCGUCGUACUGAGUCGUGCUACAAGUACGGCAGGCAGGUUCUGCUUGACAUCGGCCAAAGCGAGUUUUGUCGAGUUCUGGACUUUGAUGCGGGAACAUUAAAGGAGCUCGGCCUGCUACGUCCUGAAGCGUCGCCGGGCUCGUCUGCUAUUCCUGGCCCGGUUGGGAAGCGUCGAAAGCGGUGUGCAAGGAGGCUGAAGAGGGGCAAACGCGGGGGCGUCCGGGCCAGGCUGGCGGCCAACCCUACUCGCCCGGCCGUGCCUCCCAUUCUUCUGGCGAAUGUUCGAUCGCUGGACAACAAAAUGGAUUACAUUUGCUUGCUGCAAUCUACAAACCGGACAGUGCGGGACUGCUGUGUGCUCGUGUUCACGGAGACUUGGUUGUCUGUCAACAUUCCGGACUCUGCUGUACAUCUGGAGCGGCUAGAGUGCUAUCGGGCGGACCGGGCCAUUGUACAAGGGGGGAAAUCUCGUGGAGGUGGAAUAUGCGUCUACAUCUGUGACGAAUGGUGCCGGGACUCUGUAGUGGUAUGCAAGCACUGCUCGCCACUGGCGGAGUUCGUGAUCAUUAAGUGCCAUCCUUUUUACCUGCCAAGGGAAUUCAACGCGAUUCUGCUCGUUGCGGUUUAGAUCCCGCCUUCCAACAUCGAAGGCGACAGGAUCGCGGCUCUUAGUGAACUGUAUCAGUGAACAAGAGACAGCGCACCCUGACGGUUUCACCAUCUUCGCUGGGGAUUUUAAUCAUGCUAACCUGAAGUCUGUUUUUCCGAGGCUUCACCAGCAUGUUAAUUUUCCUACGCGUGGCAACAGCUUCCUGGACCUGGUCUACUCUUCGCAUGAAGGAACUUUCAAAGCCGCCCCCUCCCCCAUCUUGGACUUUCUGACCAUAUCACUGUUAUGCUUUUGCCCGCAUACAGACAAAUGGUGAGAGCGUCCAGGCCAGUUCGCAAGCAGGUACGGGUGUGGCCUGUCGGUGCCUCUGAUGCACUGCGUGACUGCUUUGGCUCUACUGACUGGGACAUGUUUAGGAGGGCUGCCACUUGCGACGAUCAGACAGACAUUGAGGAGUAUACUGACUCUGUUUCCUUCUACAUCAGGAAGUGCAUUGAUGAUGUGACUCACUCAAAAUCCAUCGUCACUCGGGCUAACCGGAAGCCAUGGCUGACGGCGGCUGUCUUCAGGCUGCUGAGGGCCAGGGACAAAGCCUUUAGAGCGGGGGAUGAGGCUGGCUUGAGGACUGCGAGGGCCGACCUGUCCCGG